UACGUAGGGUGCAAGCGUUGUCCGGAAUUAUUGGGCGUAAAGAGCUCGUAGGCGGUUUGUCGCGUCUGCUGUGAAAACUCGGGGCUUAACCUCGGGCCUGCAGUGGGUACGGGCAGACUAGAGUGCGGUAGGGGAGAUUGGAAUUCCUGGUGUAGCGGUGGAAUGCGCAGAUAUCAGGAGGAACACCAAUGGCGAAGGCAGAUCUCUGGGCCGUAACUGACGCUGAGGAGCGAAAGCAUGGGGAGCGAACAGG
rnacentral:rRNA from 1 species